ACAUAAUAGAUCUGAUGAGUGUGCAGGAAAUCUCUCUGCCUUGUCCUUUCCUAUGUUAUAAUUUUUAGAAUUUUAAUCUUUUUUCUUUUUCUUUUUUAGCAGAACAUUCUCAAAAAGAACAAUACAUGGCCACAGUGACAGAUUAUAAGAUGUAAUACACACACGUGGCCAGUAGAGGGAACCUGAUCAGUAGCGGAUGCUUCUCUACAUUCAACGAGGAAACAAAUCUUCCUCUGAUACUACUGACAUCAGUUGGGGGAGGCUACUCCUUCAUAUCCAAGCCCAUUCCUCCUCUAGGACAGAUUGACCAAUUUGAUUUCCCAAUUUCUCUAGAAAAUGAAAAUUUUCUUCUGGAUUUGUUCAGCCAGAGCAACAGAGCACUUACAUCCACUUUAAUUGUGCAAACUUAUAUGGCUGGCCACAUGACCCA